GCAGAGGUAAUCAAGCUUGGCCAAAGAUGCAGGACUUAGGAUCCUGUCCUUAGUGGUUCUUGGGUUCAAAUCCCAACCUCUGCA
rnacentral:tRNA from 1 species